CCCCACCCAUGGACCUGGAUAGGGGUCCGGACGCGUCGCCUGAGCACUCUCACCACCUGGGGUCGCUGACCAGCGCACCCAGGCCCGGACCCCGUCCGCACCAGGGGCCCCAAGAGUCCAGCUCGCCGGACUUCGCCCGGCUGAGAUCCGGGAGUCUGGAUGUCCAGCCCCGAGGGCGCCAUCUUCCCCUAGGGGCGCCGCCGCUUCCGGGUCUGUCCCAAGGUGGGGGCGUGGCCCUGAACGUCAUCCACGUGGACUCCGCCCUGCGGGGCCUGGCUCCCGCCCCCUGCGCACCUGGCCCCGCCCCGCCGUCGGUUUUCAGAGAGGUUGCUGGGUUCCGUGUGGAGACGACCCGCGAAUGAGUCCACGCAGACGCGCACCAAGUCGCCGGACGACGCACUCACAGACCCAUGUGAAGGACACAAGGGGGACAUCUGUGACAACAGAGGCAGAGACUGAAGUCCUGCUGCUACAAGCCAAGGGACACCAAGGACUGCCGGCAGCCACAAGAACCCAGGGAGAGGCAAGGAAAGACCCUCUCUUCCACGCUACAGGAGUAUAGCCCUGCCAACACCUCGAUUCUGUACUGCCGGCCUCCAGAACUG